rnacentral:lncRNA from 1 species
GGAUAUUCUAUGUACCAGGCAUUAUCCUGAGCAUUUUGCAUAUAUUAUCUCAACUAAUUUUACAUAACACUAUGAAGUAUGUAUAACUAUUAGACUCAGGUUGCUGAUAAGGAAACUAAGGUCUUUGUAACCAGUUCAGCUGGAUCAAAACCCAGUGUUUUCUGCUUUCCAAUCAGGAGGUUUUUCCUUGGGCUAUAGAGCUCGACUUUGCAGGCAAGGCACAGGCAGGGAUGUGUGCUCCAAGGGCCACUCUAGUUCUCAGACAAGCCGCAGUCACAGUCGAGACACAGUUGGCAAGAUUAUGUAUAAUAGUGGACCAGAGGUGAUGGAAGGAGCUAAACAUUUUCACUCAAUCCCACUUCUCGCUUUCCUGAGUGGUUUGUGGGUGUGAGUGCUGAAAACGAAUUUCUUCUGCAGGAGGAGGAAGUGGCGGGGCUUGGAGCCAGAAUGACUCAUCAGAACUCCCUAUGGAAGUCAGGACAACAGCGGGAGACUGAGCUUUCAACAUUGGACAUGCAGGUGGCUUCAACUGGACAUGAUCUGGUACUGUUCCGAAGUGGCCCAUUGCAGAUAUUGAACCACCUGCCAGCUGCAUUUGUUGUCCUGGAUGUCAGUGCCAAAUCUGCCAGUCACACUGGGGUCCCUAAAGAGGUCAAGGUAAUCAUCCUGAAUCUGAAAGAACUCUCCCAUCUCCAGCAGGAUCAUCUUGGCAUCGGUGUGCUCCUACUCGCCAUCAGUUCCUGGCUGCUGCUACAGGAAGGUAGAAGGAGUAGAAAGCUGUUUUGUACCUGACAAUAGAUUUGUACAUCUUUUCAGUGAAUCUGCCAAGAUCAGCAUCGCCCCGGGCAGCUGUGAUAAGGUCCAGGGUCUGCCCAAUCUCAGUCUAAUAGGCGCUCUUCAGGAAGAGCUCAAUCAAGUUCAGGUAAUAGGGCUGCUCCCAGCAGUAGAGCUUUAGCAGGUGGUAGAUAUGGGCUUCCUGAAGGAUAGCAUCAUUGAUGGUGUCCAAACCCAUGCCUAGCUUCUGAUACCAGCAGAUAUCUGUCCCCGGCGGGUGAGGAAUGAAUCCAUGAGGUCAUCUUUCACCAGGAAGAAAGCCUGCAGCUCCUUGAGCUGGGCAAUAGCAUCUUCUGUCUCUGGGUACCCCAUCUCACCCUCAGCCAGCACCCUAAUGAUCUGGGAGAAGUGUUGAAUGAAAUCCUGCUUUUCUUGGACAUAAACAUCUGAUUUCUGGUCUCCAUUUAUUCUUCUGAGGGAGGAGCAAAGGGCUCUGUUCCUAGAUGCAGGUUCCUGCUUGAUCAGAUCAGAUCUCUUUUACCACCAUCAUUUUCCGUUAUAAUUUUUGCAAAGGCAGUUUCAAUGGCACACAUUUCUGAAUCACUUCUAGCAAAGUCAAGCUAGUAAACUACAAAAUGUUCUAUAAACAAGCUAGCCUGGCUCUUGCUAAAAUGAGAACCGUCUGGUAAAUUUUUAAAAAUAUAAAAUAUAAUGAAGAUAUUGGUAUUGAUAUAGGGUUUUUCUCCUGCUACUUUGAGUUUUGGCCAUUUUCAGAGAAUUUGUGGAGGAAAUUAGAUGUUUUAAAAUUAUAUGGAAAAGAAGUUAUUAACAUUGACUUGAAAACUUUGUAUUACAGAGAAAACAGUGCUUUUUCUUGAUCAAUCAUUCAGUAGUUGAAAAUAACUCCCAAUAUAUUAAAGCCAAGGGGAAAUAAUACAUAGGAUAAAAAGACAAUGGGCUAUAUUUUUAACCAGCGUAAUACUGAAAAUGUUUCCAGAAAUAAUUUUAUUUUAAUUUGUUUAAGAAAUGUAGCAUGUGUGACAAACAAUAUUCAAAGAGGGCUGUGUUGUGGGUUUUUUGGGCUGAGAUUGUGGUUAAAAAAAGAAAAUUUUAGGCCAGGCACUGUGGCUUACCCCUGUAAUCCUAGCACUUUGGGAGUCUGAGUUGAAUGGAUCACCUGAGGUCAGGAGUUUAAGACCAGCCUGGGUAACAUGGUUAAACCUUGUUUCUACUAAAAAUAAAAAAUUAGCUGGGCGUGGUCACAUGUGCCUGUAGUCCCAGCUACUCGGGAGGCUGAGGCAGGAGAAUUGCUUGAAUCCUGGAGGCGGAGGUUGCAGUGAUCCUAGAUCUGGUCACUAUAUUCCAGGCUGGGUGACACAGCAAGACUGUCUCAAAAAAAAAAAAAGAGUCCAACCUUUGUUGUCUUUGCGGUUUAUGUCUUAGGUAUCAAGAGGCUAGAUACAUUCCUUUGAAUAAGACAAUUUCUUCCUCCUGCAUUUCUUUAGAAAUGAGAGAGGGAGAAGGGGGGUGUAGAGAGAGAAAGAGAGACUCUGAAUACUGGGCAAUAAACCAAUUUUUUUUGGUGUGGUCUGUACUUAAUAGAUAGAGAGUUAUGCAGAGCUGGAUGAAUAUUACAUGAAUAACUGUAUGGAUAAUGGUUCCAUUUGAGAUGGGAAAUAGAAAUGUUGAUGAAAAUAGUGGAACUCUGUAAAAUAUAUAUAUAUUUUUUGAGAUGGAGUUUCGCUCUUGCUACCCAGGCUGGAGUGCAAUGGCGCGAUCUCAGCUCACCGCAACCUCCGCCUCCUGGGUUCAGGCAAUUCUUCUGCCUCAGCCUCCUGAGCAGCUGGGACCACAGGCAUGUGCCACCAAGCCCAGCCAAUUUUUUGUAUUUUUAGUAGAAACGGGGUUUCCCCAUGUUGACCAGGAUGGUCUCGAUCUCUUGACCUCGUGAUCCACCCGCCUUGGCCUCCCAAAGUGCUGGGACCACAGGCUUGAGCCACCGUGCCCGGCCCAAAAUAUUUUAAGAUAUUUAUUCUGAACCAAAUAUGAGUAACCAGUGGCUUGUGACACAGCCCCAGAAGAUCCUGAGAACAUGGAGAACAUGUGCUCAACUGGUCGGACCACAGCUUGGUUUUAUAUUUUAGGGAGACAUAAGACAUCAAUCAAUACAUGCAAGAUGCAUAUUGGUUCAGUUUGGAAAGGCAGGACAACCUAGGGGGAGGCCCCCCAAGUCACAGACAGAUUCAAAGAUUUUCUGAUUGGCAAUUGGUUGAAAGAGUUACUAUCUAAAGACCUGGAAUCAACAGAAUGGAAUGUCUGGGUUUAGAUAAGGGUUGGUAGAGACCAAGGUUUUAUCAUGCAGAUGAAACCCCCAAUUAGCAGGCUUCAGAGCUCUUAUCAGAUCUAAAAACGUGCCACACUCUUUGUUAUUUCUCUCAUGGAUUUGAGGAAAGACCUGGAAAGGAAAGGGGAUUCUUUGCGAGAUUAUCCCCAUAAGAGAUAUCUUUAUAGAGCCGUUUUAAAGUAUGUCAAAGAAAUACAUUUUGAGGUGAUAUCAAUUUCUUCCUUUCAGAACCUGCUAUUUGUCAUUUGUUGCUCUAAUAGAGUCAGGCAGGAAUUUGGUAUCUUAUGGCUGCAAAAAGACCAUUUUGUCACUUCUAAGAUCUUCUAAGAUCUCUGUUGUAAUGUUAAUGCUGGCCAGUUGUGCCUAAUUCCAAAGAGGAGAGGGUAGAAUGAUGAGGCAUGUCUGACCACCCCCUUCCUAUCAUGAUCUGAACUAGAUUUUCAGGUUUAUUUUGGAAUGCCCUUGGCUGAGAAGUGGCCGGGGUCGGGGGCAUCUAUCAGUCAGUCAGGGGACUUAGAAUUUUAUUUUUGGUUUACAGAAAAAGUGCGUGGGAAAAGUGGAAAUAUAUACAUCUGCAGUUUGUGAUAGGGAGUUCAACUGGACAAGGAUUCAAGAGUCAGAAUUUAUAUGUGUAUUUAAGUAUUUGUUUACUCAACAAAUACCUAUGGAGUUCUUUCUCUGUGCUUGGCACAUUGUAGGGGAGUAGUACUCUCCUUUCACUGCAGCUUUAGCCCAUAGAUAAUUGGAUUUAACUGGGGAAGUGCUGGGGAGGCUGUCUCUUCUCACCAACCCCUCAUUCACUACUUACUAGAGGACAGAGAAGAUGUUGAUCAAUAACUCUAAACUUGAAAUUAAUUGGCAGCAUUUCACUGUGGGUAGGGCCACUGUAUUAAUGGUGAAUGUCAUUAAUGACAUGCCCUUUUCUUUCUCCCACUUUCUGGACCUAUGCUGCUGGCAGGAUAGUGUCAAGGACUUCCCUCAUGUGAAGUGUGGUCAUUCCCUUUUUCUGCUCUGUCUUCCUCCAUGGAUCAGAUUGGCUGGCCAGCUGUAAACUGCAAAGCAAGAUCAGCUCAGAGCAAAGCUUUGGAGGGAAGCAUGUUGUUUCUCGGGUGGUGUCUCCAUUUCUGUGUCUAGGCUGGCAAGGCAGACUUCUGAUUCUCAUCCAUUUGAGUAGUUGUGUAAGUGAA